UUUUGGCGGAAAAAUAGCAUUUUUACGGUUUUGGCGAAAAUAUUUGUGCGGGUUUUAAGGAAAAAUGUGUUUUUGAUGAAAAAGUGUAUUUAUGUGGGCUUGGCGAAAAAUAUAUUUUUGCGGUUUUGGGGGGAAAAGUGUAUUUUUGCGGUUUUAUUGAAAAAUGUGUUUAUGACGAAAAAGUGUGUUUUUGUGGGUUUGAUGGGAAAAUGCGUUUUUGCGGUUUUGGAGGGAAAAUGCGUUUUUACGGUUUAGGCGGAAAACAACUUUUUCCGGUUUUGGCGGAAAAAGUGUGUUUUGCGGUUUUUGCGGGAACAUGCGUUUUUGCGGUUUUGGCGGGAAAUAUAUUUUUACAGUUUUGGCGGAAAAUGCAUUUUUCGAUUUUGGCGGUCAAAUGCAUUUUUCCGAUUUUGGCAGGAAGUGCGUUUUUCCGAUUUUGGCGGGAAAAUACGUUUUCCGGUUUUGGUGGGAAAUGCAUAUUUACGUUUUUGCCUUUUUGACGAGAAAAUACGUUUUUACGGUUUUGGCGGAAAAGUGUGUUUUUAUCGAUUUGGCCGAAAAGUGUGAUUUUACUAGUUUGGCCGAAAAUUGCGUUUUAUAGAAAUGUGCGUUUUCCCGUUUUUUGCGGAAAACACAUUUUUGUGGUUUUGACAGGAAAGUCUGUUUUUCAGUUUUGGGAGGAAAAUGCAUUUUUCGGUUCUAGCGAAAAAAUUUAUAUGCAAAAAAAUAAAAAGAAUUUUUGGUUUGAAAAUAAUAUUUUGAUUUUAAAAGAUUAUUUUAUGUAAUUUAUCAUUUUGGACCGAGUCUAGAUGCACCAUUAAGAGUCAUCUUCAUUUGGAUGAAAAUUUGAGAUGAGUUUUUAAAAAUUCAAUAAGGUAAUGUAUCUGAAUGUAGCAUUUUAAUGUACAAAAGUAACAUUCAUUUGUAUCUUCACCUCGAUGGAUAGUAAGCGAACGAACGACACCUUGGUGUAAUCGUGGGCCGAAUGUCGUUGUGCGGCCGUGAAGAAAGAGUUCUUCCCUAACCCUAAUACCGAAGAGACGAUGAAUUGACGCCUUUCUGAUAUCUAUCUCCGGCUGGCUAGCUGCCAUUUUUUUCCGGAAGUUCGAGCAAUGGGUUCCUCUGUGAUUACUUCACUGUCGCUGAGCUUCAAACAAGUUCCUCCAACAGCUGUUCCUGCUUUUCUCGACUCUGUUCUAAGCUCCACAGGUGUGUCUCCCUCCACCCUUUUCGAAUCCCUCAUCAAAGAAUUGCCUUUUCGUGCGGAGAACACCAUUAAUGGCGACAAGAAAUUCACUUCUGAUGAUUGCAACCACAUUGCUUCGUUGGUGUCUGGUCUUUGUCAUUUACUAAAGAGUUUUGGUUUGGGUACUGAAGAUAAUCAUAAUGCCUUGCAGUUGUUUAUGUGGAGAGUGUUUGUUCCACUGAUGAAGAUGGUUCGUGUUUGUUUAAUCGUUCUUUGAUGUUGUGAUGGAGACAAGUGCAUUGAUUGUAUUGGAAGUGAGUUUGGUGCCUUUUUUUACUGAGAUUAGUUGGGGUUUCGAUGGGAAUGCUUCAACAAGAAGAAUCAGAUUUCAUUAAAUGGGGAGAGCUGUUGCUUCGUGACUCUUUGAGUACAAAUAAUAUGUAUGAAAACUACAUUGCAUCUUUUUGAGUCAUUUCCGAUUCCACUGUCGUGCCAUCUAUUGAAUCUGUUACUGAGCGCUGCUUUUCAAAGUCACCAAGCAGCUCGAGAGGCUUUUGUCACAAAGUGUGGAGCAUCGUUCAUGUGCUGUUAGUUUCCUUCUCCCUGCUAUUUUCAAGGCAUUCUCUUCUCAGUCUUCUCUGAAGAUCUCACUUCAAGGGAACGUGUACAUAAUUUCAAGGAAUGGCUUCAAGAAAAUAAUAUGGGAAUGCUGCAAGAAGCUGUUCUCGGUUGGAUCAAUAGAGGCCUUUCUUCUGGCUCUUGGACGGACGGAACAGAAAGUUAUGUCUUAGAAAAAGGCCGUGUCGAAUUUGACUUUAGGUCCGAACACGAGUUAGUUUUGGGAAGAAAUCAAGAAAGGCUUGAUAUGGCAAAAGUACCUGUUAUUCGUACAGAUUCUUUCACUUUCUAAAAUAGGAUCAUCCAUGAGUGUAAAAACCCUAUCCUUUCAGGUUUUUGAUGAGAGUUUAGUAAGGAAGGAGUCAUUGCACAUUCUUAAAUCGGUUUUAUCCAUAAGUGAAGCGAGUAAGACGAUUUCUGGGAAGAAUUGUAUGGCUCUGUUGAAUCUGCUUUGUUAGGAUAUUGUUUUGUCUCCCACUGA